AUGGCGUCAUCAGCAGCUUUUAAAAAAAGGCAGAGACCUGAAGCCAGCCUUGAAGCUGCAUUUGAUAUGCAAAAGAGCGAGCUAAUGGUCCGAGAAAUGGAGGUUGAAAGGCUUGCUGAUAAUACAGUGAAGAAGGAACUGCUGAAAAUGCAUCUUGAGGUUGAGAAACUCCGUGCUGAAAACCAGGAAUUAACUAUUAAAUUACAGAAGCUGACUGAACAAGUUAAAGCAGACAAAAGGUCUGAAGUCAACCAAAGCUUUCCUGAACUGCGUGCUGAGCUAGAGGAGUUGCAGAAAGAGUAUCGGUACAUACGAUCUGAAUUUGAGCAUAAUCGGGACAUAAAUACCAAGCAAGCUGAGCAGAUGAAAACAAUGGAAAUGAGCCUCAUAGCCAUGACCGAACAGGUUGAGAAGUUACGUGCGGAGAUGCAAAAUGCUGACAUGAGAGCACAAGGGAAACCAUUGGGCCUUGCUAAAUUAAUAAACGACAAGUCCUGGUACUGCUAUUGCUCAUGUAGUCAUGGCAUUCCAUAG
rnacentral:rRNA from 1 species